AUAUAAAAUACUUAAAGUUAGGGAAGUUAAAUAAAUAGUUAUUUAAAUAUAAUAAAAAUAGUAGUUAUAAAUAAUAAAAUUUUAUUAAUAAAAAAAAAAUAUAUAAUAUAAAUAGAAUUGUAAAAGUAAAAUAAUAAAUAUAUAAAAGAAUAGUUUAAUUAGUUCCUUUUGUAUCAGGAUUAAUUAAAAAUUAAUUUAAAUUAAAAUAAUCUCGAAAAUUAAGAGAUAAUUUUUAUAAUAGUUAAUGUAAAAAUAUUAUUAUUAAUAAUGAUUUAGAAAUGAAAUGUUAUUCGUUUUAAUUGAUAUCUAGUUUUUUAUGAAUUUAAUUAAAUUAAAUUAAUAAGUGAAAAUAUUUUAUAUAUAUAUAUAUAUAUAUAUAUAAUUUAUUAAUAAAUUAAUUAAGGGUUAAACUUUAAUUAAAAUUAAAAUUUUAGAUUAAUUAAGUUUUUAAGUAUAAGAUAAUAAUUAUUUAUUAGUAAGAAUAAUAUAAUAAUUUAUAAAAUAAAUAAAAAUAAUUUAUAAAAAAUUUAAUUAAUUAAUAAAAUGUUAAAAAAAAUUAUUUUUUUUAUAAAAUAAUGAUUAAAUUAGUAAAUUUAUUAUUAAAAAAUAAAAUUAAUAAAUAAAAUAAAAUUUAAUAAUUUGGCAAAUUAAGAAUAUUCACUUGUUUAACAAAAACAUGUCUUUUUGAUAAAAAUUAAAAGUCUAAUCUGCUCAAUGAAAUUUAAAUGGCUGCAGAAAAUUAACUGUACAAAGGUAGCAUAAUCAAUAGUUAUUUAAUUAAUAAAUAGAAUGAAAGAUUGGAUGAAAUAUUUACUUUUUUAAUUUUAAAAAUUAAACUUAAAAUUUAAGUAAGAAUUCUUAAAUUUUUUUAAGGGACGAGAAGACCCUAUAAAGCUUAAAUAAUAAUUUUAUUUUAAUAAUAAAAAUUUUAUAAAUAAAAUAUUUAUUUUACUGGGGAAGUAUUAAAGUAGGAAAAAUUUUUAAUAAAAUAAAACAUUAAUUUUUGAAUUUAAGAAUAUAAAGGAUAUAAAAAAGAUAAGUUACUUUAGGGAUAACAGCGAAAUAAUUUUUAAAGAACAAAUUAAAAAGAUUGUUUUCGACCUCGAUGUUGAAUUAAGAUAAAAUAUAAUUGAAGAAGAUUAAAAUUUAAGUCUGUUCGACUUUUAAAAUCUUACAUGAUUUGAGUUCAGAUCGGCGUAAGCCAGAUCAGUUUCUAUCUUUAAUAAAAAAUAUUAUUAUUGUACGAAAGGACUUAAUAAAAAAAUAAAAUUUUUUAAAAUUAAUUAAAUUAAUAA
rnacentral:rRNA from 1 species